CUGGUUUAGGUGGACUUUUCAAGAUUUUUUUCUGAUUUACUGUGGACAUUCUGUUUUGGUGGACCCAAAAAGUCCACGUAAAAAUAAACGCACAGAACACCUUUUAGCUGGACGUAAACGUAUCCGAAAGAACAAGUCUGUUUCGGUGGACUCAAAAAUUGUCCACCUUAGGCGCCAUCUAUCUCUAAACUAAAAAAUUUGAUGGUUCGUAGUUCCAAUAUCUGCCACAGACGGCGCCACCAUCGGCUGGCUCUGUGUUGAAGCUCGGAAACGCACGCCUUGAUCAGCGCGGGCUAGCGCGGGCAUGCAGCAAAAACGUAACAUGAUAUGAUUUAUAGUGUGGUCUGUGGAAUGUGAAGCGAUCAAAAUAGACGUUUGUUUUAUUUUUAAAAAAGUGUAAAAAUAAAUUAAUUAUAUUAUGUAUCUUAGAAACCCGUGAAUUAGAGUAUGAUGAAGUUUUGUGUAGUUGCAACAACACUGUUUUUUGUUGCGGUGUUAUCGGCGCGGCACGGCUCACCACGUGGCGGUGUCAGUGUUGGGAUUUGGAAGAGAUAAAGCUUUGGGUGGUACUAAUUUGUGUUUUUUUUUGUGCUGGGAGCUUUUUGAAGUCUGUGAGGUAGCUUGGAUGUUCAGGCCACUUUGAUAGUCCAAGAUGCUGUCUGGUACUAAUGUACGCAAGAAGCGACCAGCAGCUGUUACUUCUGGACGAAGG